AAGACCUUACGCUUUUGGAGCGGCCGAUGUCUGAUUAGCUUGUUGGUGAGGUAAAGGCUUACCAAGGCUUCGAUCAGUAGCUGGUCUGAGAGGACGACCAGCCACACUGGGACUGAGACACGGCCCAGACUCCUACGGGAGGCAGCAGUGGGGAAUUUUGGACAAUGGGGGAAACCCUGAUCCAGCCAUGCCGCGUGAGUGAAGAAGGCCUUCGGGUUGUAAAGCUCUUUCAGCCGGAACGAAACGGUUACGAUUAAUACCUGUAACUACUGACGGUACCGGAAGAAGAAGCACCGGCUAACUACGUGCCAGCAGCCGCGGUAAUACGUAGGGUGCGAGCGUUAAUCGGAAUUACUGGGCGUAAAGCGUGCGCAGGUGGUUUCGUAAGUCAGAUGUGAAAUCCCCGGGCUUAACCUGGGAACU
rnacentral:rRNA from 1 species